ACAACUGAGAGAGAGACACAGAAAAACAGAGAAACAGAGAAAGAGAGUUAGGAACAAGUGCAGCGCCAGUUAAGUCCCAAGGACAUUUGGAUAAUGACGGCAACAACAAACAAUGAGGGAUGGGAGAACUCCAUUUGCACAGGUCCCAGCAGGGUAAAAUGUUUUGGAUUCCCCCAAGUUCACCCGGCAGCAUAUCAGCCUGGAACGGAUUUGGCGGGAGGACGAGUGGGGGAGCAAUUGGCAGGUGGAAGACGAGAGAAGAGAACCUUUGGGACUGAGGGGGGAUUUGACCUGACAGGGCUGUGAUGAAAUGGAAAAAAGGGAUAAACUGGAAAACUGAAAUCUCUUGAUGUGGAAAGCUGUAUGCAUGUGCCACUGUGGAAUUCCUUGUAAAUGCACAUGCAAAUAUUCUACUAUGAUUUGCAUUCACACAGUUACUUAUGAGUAAAAAUGAGUACAAACAAAUAUAUCAACAUCGUAUGAUAAAGUAAUGGAGCACAGAAUUCUAACUUCAAAACAAUACCUUGAAAAAUACCAUGGGGAUAAUAUAUGGGCUAGCUUGUAUCCUUUGCCUUCCCUUGUUGAUUUGCCUCACCAAGGAAGCUCUGCGCUUGUCAUCUUUGCUGAGCUAACACCAUAACAAAACCCGCAGAUUUUAAUAUUCAACCAGAGCAAAUAAGACGAGUGAAGACAGCACUGAAAUUGAGCGGGAGGAGGCAGGUUUUUUAGAUAUGUAAUCGAAAAUACUAUAUUUUUGACACCACAAGUCUGCUGAAAUAGUCUUUCUGGAAAAAUUACAUCCUCAAUCAGUUAGCCUGUGAAUGCAAGACCACAACAAAUACAUUGUCAACCUGAAAACACUGCACACAGCCUGUUGUGAAAGCUCACACCACUUGAAACACUGCACAACCGUUUAAUGAACCAGCCAACAAACACACAGAGCCUGGCUCUCACUGAGCUUCUAGCAGCUAAUAAAUAAACUAGGCAUUCUAGCCAGAGAUACAGUAGGAACUCCAAUACAAGAGACAACUCUCAGGGGGCGAUGCAGUCCUUUUUAAUUAAACUACAGUAGAUCCCCAAAAAGUAACCCCUGCCAGAGCUUUACUGUUUCUUGUGGAGAAUUUAGAGAGAAAGAAAACUAACAUUAAAUGCGUGUAAUUGCAGCACGUAAUUUACCCAGAAAGGUAUUCUUCAGUGCAACAUUAUCGAUUGAUGAUUAAUGUGUGUCUAUUUUAGUGUGUGUAUGUGGAUUUCUUUUUUUUUUUAGAACUCUGGAAAGUGUCUUUGAGUGUUGUAAAAAGCGCUAUAUAGAUAAAAUGCAUUAUUAUUAUUAUUAUUAUUAUUAUUAACAUAAAAAAAUGUUAUAGCUAAUAAUUCCAACUCCUAGUUCCUUUUGUUUCUCUGUUUGUAAAAAUAAUUUGUCCUCUAAGUUUGAUUUGUGUGUGCCUAGCUGGCCCGAGGAAGUAGAUUAUAUUGACUUUAUUUUAUCAAAGCGCUCUGUGUCCAGCACAUUCAGUUUGCUUCAAUAAACAAGACUGGUUACCUGAUGGUUUCCAGUUGUAGUGUGUCAAAAUAAA